UAACAAGGUAGCUGUAGGUGAACCUGCUGCUGGAUCAUUAACGACUAUAAAACACAAUGAUCAUUCUAGUCCGUAGAAGUACCUCUGGUACCCAGCUAGACUGCUGGUAUGGGCGAUAACGGUUCCGCUGGUUUCUAUGCAUUCGCCGAGUAGUUGUCACUAUCCGUGGCUACAGUGAAGCGAUGUGAUAGCCCCCAUUGGGGUAGAAUCAAUGAGCACCUGCUAUUGGGGCCGCCAGCAAAACAUUUUCAUUUUAAACAUUUUUCACUAGAAAAUAUUCUAGCCUUAUCGGUGGAUCACUCGGUUCGUAGAUCGAUGAAGAACGCAGCCAAAUGCGAUAAUUAGUGUGAACUGCAGAUAUAUUGAGCACUAAAGCUUCGAAUGCACAUUGCGUCGUUGGAUUCUAUCCUUCGACAUAUCUGGCUCAGGGUCGCAAAUACACAACAACCUUCUGUGUUGUUCGAGUAGGGGAAUCGCGCUAGCCACGCGGUUCCUCAAUUGGAUUCCUGUCUGCUGGUCUAGUAGGGUUUAUGGCACGUCCGUUGACUUAGGAUAGCCGUUUUCUCCUGCUCUCCAGUGGACUCGAUCUUUCGACCUGAGCUCAGGUAUGAGUACCUGCUGAACUUAAGCAUGUCAGUA
rnacentral:rRNA from 1 species